AUGGUUAAAGAAGAAAAAGAAGAAAACAGGGGUUCUGUUGAAUUUCAUGUAUUCAGUUUCACCAAUAAGAUACGGAGACUUGCUUCACAUUUGGAAUUACACAAAAAAUAUUUUUCAUCGAAAAAGUUAAAGAACCUUAUAGACAGCCUAACAUUCUUGCAGAAUAUAUAG
rnacentral:rRNA from 1 species